rnacentral:rRNA from 1 species
GGAUGAACGCUGGCGGCGUGCCUAAUACAUGCAAGUCGAACGCAUAGCGAAAGGUGCUUGCACCUUUCAAGUGAGUGGCGAACGGGUGAGUAACACGUGGACAACCUGCCUCAAGGCUGGGGAUAACAUUUGGAAACAGAUGCUAAUACCGAAUAAAACUUAGUGUCGCAUGACACAAAGUUAAAAGGCGCUUCGGCGUCACCUAGAGAUGGAUCCGCGGUGCAUUAGUUAGUUGGUGGGGUAAAGGCCUACCAAGACAAUGAUGCAUAGCCGAGUUGAGAGACUGAUCGGCCACAUUGGGACUGAGACACGGCCCAAACUCCUACGGGAGGCUGCAGUAGGGAAUCUUCCACAAUGGGCGAAAGCCUGAUGGAGCAACGCCGCGUGUGUGAUGAAGGCUUUCGGGUCGUAAAGCACUGUUGUAUGGGAAGAACAGCUAGAAUAGGAAAUGAUUUUAGUUUGACGGUACCAUACCAGAAAGGGACGGCUAAAUACGUG